CCCAGUUCGAGCUUCCCAGCUGCUUUGUUUACCUAAUCAAGCCUGGGCAAUGGCGGGCGCCCCUCCCCCAGCCUCGCUGCCGCCUUGCAGUUUGAUCUCAGACUGCUGUGCUAGCAAUCAGCGAGACUCCGUGGGCGUAGGACCCUCCGAGCCAGGUGCAGGACAUAAUCUCGUGGUGCGCCGUUUUUUAAGCCGGUCUGAAAAGCACAAUAUUCGGGUGGGAGUGACCCGAUUUUCCAGAGUUUAGGAUGCUUCAAGGGAAAGAUGAACCGGGGAACCGCCGCCGUGACUAUUUCUCAUCUACAUAUCCACCCCCUGAAGUUCUUAAGGUGGAGCGGAAUUCAUUUUAUUUGCAAAUGUGGAAGGCAUUAUAAAAACCGUGAACGAUGCCCCCUCCCAUGAGGGAUACAGGGAGAGCCACAUGAAGAGGAUGUUGGGCUUCUUCAAGCUGGGAGGGCACUGAGCUGACUGUUCACCACACUCACCAGGGGCCUUUGUGCAUCCCGUGGGGCAGCUCUGGGAAAGC
rnacentral:lncRNA from 1 species